rnacentral:rRNA from 1 species
GGCUCAGGAUGAACGCUAGCUACAGGCUUAACACAUGCAAGUCGAGGGGAAACGACAUCGAAAGCUUGCUUUUGAUGGGCGUCGACCGGCGCACGGGUGAGUAACGCGUAUCCAACCUGCCCACCACUUGGGGAUAACCUUGCGAAAGUAAGACUAAUACCCAAUGAUAUCUCUAGAAGACAUCUGAAAGAGAUUAAAGAUUUAUCGGUGAUGGAUGGGGAUGCGUCUGAUUAGCUUGUUGGCGGGGUAACGGCCCACCAAGGCGACGAUCAGUAGGGGUUCUGAGAGGAAGGUCCCCCACAUUGGAACUGAGACACGGUCCAAACUCCUACGGGAGGUAGCAGUGAGGAAUAUUGGUCAAUGGGCGAGAGCCUGAACCAGCCAAGUAGCGUGCAGGAUGACGGCCCUAUGGGUUGUAAACUGCUUUUAUAAGGGAAUAAAGUGAGUCUCGUGAGACUUUUUGCAUGUACCUUAUGAAUAAGGACCGGCUAAUUCCGUGCCAGCAGCCGCGGUAAUACGGAAGGUCCGGGCGUUAUCCGGAUUUAUUGGGUUUAAAGGGAGCGUAGGCCGGAGAUUAAGCGUGUUGUGAAAUGUAGAUGCUCAACAUCUGAACUGCAGCGCGAACUGGUUUCCUUGAGUACGCACAAAGUGGGCGGAAUUCGUGGUGUAGCGGUGAAAUGCUUAGAUAUCACGAAGAACUCCGAUUGCGAAGGCAGCUCACUGGAGUGCAACUGACGCUGAAGCUCGAAAGUGCGGGUAUCGAACAGGAUUAGAUACCCUGGUAGUCCGCACGGUAAACGAUGGAUGCCCGCUGUUGGUCUGAAUAGGUCAGCGGCCAAGCGAAAGCAUUAAGCAUCCCACCUGGGGAGUACGCCGGCA